CAAAUGUAAGAUGGAUGUAACACUAAAAUGUUAGAUAGAAAUAGCUCUCAGGCUGAUGUGGCCAGGGGGCCCCAGAGGGGGAAACAGACACGAGGUCUGAGGAAGAUAACUGAACCAGUGGAAAAGUACUGAAAGAGCAGUAAAACUUGAAAAAACAGAACAAAGGGGGCCAUCUGGUACAUAGCAAGUUGAGCUAACUGAUAGCCGAAUAAGGCAUGUUCGAACACUGAUAAGAGACUGGGGCCAAUGACAAACUAUAGAACCGACCAUUACCAAAUAAGGGAACGUUGCAGGAAUAAGUGGGGUAUAAGAAUAAACAACUUAGAACAAAGGGUCAGAACGCCUUCUCCAGCAAGUCUGAUACCUUGCUGUAACUCGAUUCUCUCUCGAAUAAAGCAGUCUGUUUCUUAAAAUCUGACCCGGUGUCUCAUUCCUCUGAAACGAACACGGGGACGGUAGAACCGACAUAACAGAUGGUGACCCCUGACGUGCGGAGGGAAUGGAGACACGCUUGUUGGCAGGGGUUGAGAGCCGCCGGGCGGCCGGCCAUUCUGAACUGGGUACGGGGACGCCUCUUGCAUAAAGGUCUCCAGUAGACAUUGACCACUCUAAAUUAGUAGUUGUUCCGACGUCUCGAAUACCUUUGCCAACCUAAAUUGCAGACGUGAGUAGACGACAGAGAAUUGCUUGUUCUAAGUGCGAGUCCUUUAGGUGUGUUGGUCGUCCCGGAAAAGCCGGAGGUAUUGGACACGGUGAGUUCUUUUUAUUUGUUGCUUUCUAUAGUGAGAAGAGUGAGUCCUCCAGGUGUGCGUUAGAACACCCCUGCAAUUUCAAAAGUCCUGGAGACGGUGAGUGUUAUAUUUUUUGGUCUCUUAUCGUUAGAGAAGUGAAUUCUCCAGGUGUGCUUUGAAACACCCCUGCAAUCCCAAAAGUCCUGGAGACAGUGAGUUAUUUAUUUUUGAUCUCUUAUGUUUAUAAAAGUGAACCCUCUAGGUGUGCGUUAAAACAGCCCUGCAAUUUGAAAGUCCUAGAGUGGAUGAAUUCUCCAGGUGUGCGUUAGAACACCCCUGCAAUUUUAAAUUCCUGGAGACGGUGAGGCAUAUGUUUAUAGCCUCCUAUCGUUAGACAAGUGAACCGUCUAGGUGUGCUUUGGAACAUCACUGCAGAUUGAAAGUCCUGGAAUCGGACGCUUGUGACACGAACGAUCGACCAUGCCCUGACGGGAAAGGAUAACCCCCCACCCGCAUACCAGGCAGUGGUGCUGGAGGAGCCUGUGAUGGGGGCACCCCAAGGAAAGAUUACGGGAUCGGUAUCAGAGGGAAUGGAGGAGAUAUGCCUGAGAGAGAAGCGCGGGACAACUUAUGAUUUUACUUUAUAACUGUAUCUCUCAUUUCUAAUGCUUCCCAUUUAGGGCCUCAGAAUGUGAGGGCUGAGGUGCAGAGACCUCCUAGUUGUGUAUUUUUUUUUCUUUCCCGUUCAAAUUGACAACAGGUAAAUUUGUGCUUUUAUGCUGCAGUUAGAGAUUGUGAAGUGCUAUAUGCCUCGAGACUCAAGAGACUAUUGUUCACUCAAGAGAUUCCUAGCCAUCAUCUGGUAUUCCUAAAUGGCUUCGAUUGGUCCCGACGGCCACUGUUCAUAAUGAUAAGCCAGUUACCGCUGCCCGUGUCCGUACUUGACAGCUGUAAAAUGGAUGUGGAUUUUUAUUGGUCAAGUGAAGGUGACUGGUUAGCCAAUGACGGGUAAGAUUCCUCGAGCGAGGGACAACCUAAGACAGGCACAGUCGUGCAUUGACCUUCAGAAUAAUGGCCUGUGGUCAUGUGGUUUUAACAGAUGCCUGGCUUUUGUAUCCGUGUCGGGAAUCUGGUCAAGUUUCUGGCUUGCAAAGCAGCUUGAUAUAAGGAAAAUCGUGGACCCAGCAGUUUGACAUUGUAUUCACUGUAUUUUUGACAAAGGAAAAUGCCAAUUUUGUGGCAUCUUCCAGAACCGACUUAACAACAAACCUUUGGGAAGGAAGGAGAGCUCAUUGAAUCCUAUUACAAAAAAGAUUUGACACUAUGUCAGUAGUUUGAAAUUUUAUUUUAAGAUGUCAUGGUAUAAUACGACUGAUUUUACUGGGAGGUUGUACAAUUGGUGUUCUUUGGACAGCAGACCUUCAUUCUGCAGGCGUCCUAACUCAUCCACUUUGUGUUUUCCUCUGGUUCUCUUCGCUUUUGUUAUCAUACUCAGUAAUCGUUUUGUUGGUUUUGAGAUAGCUUUUUGUAGAUGUUUACGACUUUUGAGUGCUUACGUCUGUUAUGUAUUAUUUCACUGCUUCUCGUGCCUUAACGAUUGUAUGCGAACUGGAGAGGCGCCUAGAGUAGGGAGUUUUUGCGACGCGGAUUGCUUUGUGAGGUUGUAUGCUGCUUAGGGACUCCUAUCCCCUAUAACUAUGUCUCCAUAGAGUCAGACAAGCCGGGUUUAGCUAAUUGGUCGGUCUUGCAAAGGAGCGACGGAGGGGCACUCACCGACCCACCAGGCCCUGACUGCUGCGCGCGUUUGCUGUAUUUGUGGCCUCUCUGAGGCCAAGAGGGGGAAUGUUAGGUAGGAUUAUCACUCGGGCAAAUGUAAGAUGGAUGUAACACUAAAAUGUUAGAUAGAAAUAGCUCUCAGGCUGAUGUGGCCAGGGGGCCCCAGAGGGGGAAACAGACACGAGGUCUGAGGAAGAUAACUGAACCAGUGGAAAAGUACUGAAAGAGCAGUAAAACUUGAAAAAACAGAACAAAGGGGCCAUCUGGUACAUAGCAAGUUGAGCUAACUGAUAGCCGAAUAAAGCAUGUUCGAACACUGAUAAGAGACUGGGGCCAAUGACAAACUAUAGAACCGACCAUUACCAAAUAAGGGAACGGUGCAGGAAUAAGGGGGGUAUAAGAAUAAACAACUUAGAACAAAGGGUCAGAACGCCUUCUCCAGCAAGUCUGAUUCCUUGCUGUAACUCAAUUCUCUCUCGAAUAAAGCAGUCUGUUUCUUAAAA